UUUUUUUUAGCUCAGCGGCUAGAGUUUAGGUCUUGUGACCGGGAGGUCCGGGAUCGAAUCCCGCCAGAGGCGAAA
rnacentral:tRNA from 1 species